rnacentral:rRNA from 1 species
AUUGAACGCUGGCGGCAGGCCUAACACAUGCAAGUCGAGCGGAUGAAGGGAGCUUGCUCCUGGAUUCAGCGGCGGACGGGUGAGUAAUGCCUAGGAAUCUGCCUGGUAGUGGGGGAUAACGUCCGGAAACGGGCGCUAAUACCGCAUACGUCCUGAGGGAGAAAGUGGGGGAUCUUCGGACCUCACGCUAUCAGAUGAUCCUAGGUCGGAUUAGCUAGUUGGUGGGGUAAAGGCCUACCAAGGCGACGAUCCGUAACUGGUCUGAGAGGAUGGUCAGUCACACUGGAACUGAGACACGGUCCAGACUCCUACGGGAGGCAGCAGUGGGGAAUAUUGGACAAUGGGCGAAAGCCUGAUCCAGCCAUGCCGCGUGUGUGAAGAAGGUCUUCGGAUUGUAAAGCACUUUAAGUUGGGAGGAAGGGCAGUAAGUUAAUACCUUGCUGUUUUGACGUUACCAACAGAAUAAGCACCGGCUAACUUCGUG